rnacentral:rRNA from 1 species
CCAAGCUACUAAGAGCAUACAGUGGAUGCCUUGGUAUCGAGAGGCGAAGAAGGGCGUGGUUAACUGCGAUAAGCUUCGGGAAGGAGUAAACAUCCUUUGAUCCGGAGAUUCCCGAAUGGGUAAACCUGACUUUGAGAACCAAAGUCAGCUGUGUCUGAACACAUAGGGCAUGGCGGCCAACCGGGCGAACUGAAACAUCUAAGUAACCCGAGGAAAAGAAAACAAUAGUGAUUCCCCUAGUAGCGGCGAGCGAAAGGGGAAAAGCCUAAAUUUCCUUAAAUGUAAAGGCUGUGACCGUUGUUUAAGGAAAGGUUGUGGGGUUGGAUCGUUUUCCAUCACAGUGGAAAGGAGAAAGCAGGUCUUUUUAGCUGAAGCGCACUGGAAAAGGCGUACCAUAGAGGGUGAUAGUCCCGUAAGCGAAAAAAAGUAUUUGCAUCUCUGAUUUUCUCCCCAAGUAACGCAGGACACGAGAAAUCCUGCGUGAAUCAGCCAGGACCACCUGGUAAGGCUAAAUACUACUCGAUGACCGAUAGUGAACCAGUACCGUGAGGGAAAGGUGAAAAGUACCCCGGGAGGGGAGUGAAAUAGAACCUGAAACUGUGUGCUUACAAGCGGUGGGAGCCCUAUGGAUCUUUUAGCUUUCGCACGCCCUUUGGGUGUCCGGAAGCGGAGAUCAACGGGUGACCGCGUGCCUUUUGGAUAAUGAACCGGCGAGUUAUGAGGCGCAGCGAGGUUAAGUUCUUAAAAGAAUGUAGCCGUAGGGAAACCGAGUCCUAAUAGGGCGCAUAGUUGUGUUUUAUAGACCCGAAAUCAGGUGAUCUAUCCAUGAGCAGGGUGAAGGUGCUGUAACAGGUGCUGGAGGCCCGAACUGAUGAACGUUGAAAAGUUCUUGGAUGACUUGUGGAUAGGGGUGAAAGGCCAAUCAAACCUGGUGAUAGCUGGUUCUCCCCGAAAUAGCUUUAGGGCUAGCCUGGUAACUUAAUCCAUGGUGGUAGAGCACUGGAUAGAAUAUAAGGGGGCAACCUCUUAUAUCUUACCAAACUCCGAAUGCCGUGGGGUACGUUGCUGGAGUCAGACUACGGGGGAUAAGCUCCGUGGUCGAAAGGGAAACAGCCCAGAUCAUACGCUAAGGUCCCUAAGUGCGAGCUAAGUGCAUCAAAGGAAGUAGGGCUACAGAGACAGAUAGGAGGUUAGCUUAGAAGCAGCUACCCUUUAAAGAGUGCGUAACAGCUCACUAUUCAAGCGGUCUUGCGCCUAAAAUUUGCGGGGCUAAGCUCGUCACCGAAGCGAUGGAUUUCGUCUUUAUAUAAGGCGGAGUGGUAGGGGAGCGUUCUGUUGUAGGUUGAAGGUCUACCGAAAGGAGGGCUGGACGAAGCAGAAGUGAGAAUGCCGGUAUUAGUAGCGAAAAUAAGGUGAGAAUCCUUAACGCCGAAAACCUAAGGUUUCCUGAGUAAAGUAAUUCUUCUCAGGGUUAGUCGGGCCUAAGGCGAGGCCGAAAGGCGUAGCCGAUGGACAACAGGUUAAUAUUCCUGUACUGUCUGGAACGCGUUUGUAACUGAAGGAAAGACGCAUUGGAGUAGAUCAUCCUCCUGUUGAACCAGGAGGUCUAACCCGGUGGAAGCCGGGGAAUGGGACCCUGAGGCUCCGGCCAAUGGGGAACUGAUUCAACCCAGUGACAGGAAAAUUUCCUCCAGUGAGUAUUCCGGACAUCCGUACCGCAAACCAACACAGGUAGGUGGGGAGAGAAUCCUAAGGCGUACGAGAUAACUCCCGUUAAGGAACUCGGCAAAUUGACCCCGUAACUUCGGGAGAAGGGGUGCCUGUCCUUCGGGACAGGCCGCAGUGAACAGGCUUGGGCGACUGUUUAUCAAAAACACAGGCCUCUGCUAACUCGCAAGAGGAUGUAUAGGGGCUGACGCCUGCCCGGUGCUGGAAGGUUAAGAGGAGGAGUUAGGCAGUUUUGAUUUAUCUAAACUGCCGAAGCUUUGAAUUGAAGCCCCAGUAAACGGCGGCCGUAACUAUAACGGUCCUAAGGUAGCGAAGUUCCUUGUCAGGUAAGUUCUGACCUGCACGAAUGGCGUAACGCUCCGAGCGCUGUCUCAACGGGAGACUCGGCGAAAUUGUAGUAUCGGUGAAGAUACCGAUUACCUGCAGCGGGACGGAAAGACCCCGGCACCUUUACUGUAGCUUAUCAUUGGGUUAUAACUUAGAAUGUAGAGCAUAGGUGGGAGGCUUUGAAGCCGGUACGCAAGUACUGGUGGAGCCGUCAGUGGAAUACCACCCUUUCUUGGUUGUAAUUCUAACCUUCAGCCGUUAUCCGGUUGAGGAACAGUGAUUGGCAGGCAGUUUGACUGGGGCGGUUGCCUCCUAAAUUGUAACGGGGGCGUCCAAAGGUUCCCUCAGGACGUAUAAAAGUCGUCCGUAGAGCACAAAGGUACAAGGGAGCUUAACUGCGAGACAUACAGGUCAAGCAGAUGGGAAACCAGGGCUUAGUGAUCCGGCGGUUCCUUGUGGAAGGGCCGUCGCUCAUCGGCUAAAAGGUACGCCGGGGAUAACAGGCUUAUCUCCCCCAAGAGUUCAUAUCGACGGGGAGGUUUGGCACCUCGAUGUCGGCUCAUCGCAUCCUGGGGCUGGAGUAGGUCCCAAGGGUUGGGCUGUUCGCCCAUUAAAGCGGUACGCGAGCUGGGUUCAGUCCGUCGUGA